rnacentral:lncRNA from 1 species
AUGAUCGUUAGGUGCAUUACUGAAGUUAUGGUCAUGGAAAAUGUAAAUCCUGUGGAUUCGGUCAACUUUGGGUUUCGUUUAUCGCAAAAUUAUUGUUGAAAUAAAACCCCAAACUCAUCAUACCGGAACCCAGAAUAUCUAAAACUCAAACCCUAAUUUAGAAAUCAGAUCUCAUUUACAAAUCAACUCACUAAAUUAAGGCUUGAAUAUAGAAGUUACCUGUUGUGUCCAAUGGUCAUUGCACCUCCAGUGUUGAUGAUCAAUGUCAACCUUCUAUAUUCAACACU